UACGUAGGGGGCAAGCGUUAUCCGGAAUCACUGGGCGUAAAGGGUGCGUAGGCGGCCCAUCAAGUCAGAGGUGAAAGGCAUUGGCUCAACCAAUGUAAGCCUUUGAAACUGUUGGGCUUGAGUGCAGGAGAGGUAAGUGGAAUUCCUAGUGUAGAGGUGAAAUUCGUAGAUAUUAGGAGGAACACCAGUGGCGAAGGCGACUUACUGGACUGUAACUGACGCUGAGGCACGAAAGCGUGGGGAGCGAACAGG
rnacentral:rRNA from 1 species